ACGUACACUCCUGCGGGAGGCAGCAGUGGGGAAUAUUGCACAAUGGGCGCAAGCCUGAUGCAGCGACGCCGCGUGGGGGAUGAAGGCCUUCGGGUUGUAAACUCCUUUCGCUAGGGACGAAGCUUUUUUGUGACGGUACCUAGAUAAGAAGCACCGGCUAACUACGUGCCAGCAGCCGCGGUAAUACGUAGGGUGCGAGCGUUGUCCGGAAUUACUGGGCGUAAAGGGCUCGUAGGUGGUUUGUCGCGUCGUCUGUGAAAUUCUGGGGCUUAACUCCGGGCGUGCAGGCGAUACGGGCAUAACUUGAGUGCUGUAGGGGUAACUGGAAUUCCUGGUGUAGCGGUGAAAUGCGCAGAUAUCAGGAGGAACACCGAUGGCGAAGGCAGGUUACUGGGCAGUUACUGACGCUGAGGAGCGAAAGCAUGGGUAGCGAACAGGAUUAGAUACCCUUGUAGUCCCAUG
rnacentral:rRNA from 1 species